rnacentral:other from 15 species
GAAGCGACCACUGCCCCGCAAUGAAGGGGAUUGAAAC